rnacentral:rRNA from 1 species
UACGUAGGGUGCAAGCGUUAAUCGGAAUUACUGGGCGUAAAGGGCUCGUAGGUGGCCAACUAAGUCAGACGUGAAAUCCCUCGGCUUAACCGGGGAACUGCGUCUGAUACUGGAUGGCUGAGUUUGGGAGAGGGAUGCGGAAUUCCGAGGUGUAGCGGUGAAAUGCGUAGAUAUCUGGAGGAACACCGGUGGCGAAGGCGGCAUCCUGGACCAACACUGACGCUGAUGAGCGAAAGCCAGGG